rnacentral:tRNA from 1 species
GAGGGUAUAGCUCAGUGGUAGAGUACAUGCUUAGCGUGCAUGAGGUCCUGAGUUCAGUCCCUAGUACCUCCA